GCCAUGGCCGAAGUUAAACUUAAUCUAUUAAUUCUCUCUGCAGCGAUGGCAGAGGUUCCGUUCAGGUACAUCAACUGCCGGCCGUGCCGUCUCGAGGGCUUCUACAGCCGCGAGGAGUACGCGGAUCACGUCGAGUUCCACCUGGCUGUGGAGCCGCCGCAGCCCAACCCCGCCGAGGCGUACCGCAGUGGCGGAAUCAGCGGAUCCAACGUCGCCAGACCGAGCGGGAACAGAUCAGGCUGGCGGCACAGAGAAAUGCCGCCAGGAGGGCCGCAAGGGAGGCCGAGGCCACCAGGGCGAAGAACAAGACCAAGAGAUAGGUAAUACAGUAAUUUUAUCACCUUCAGACUGGCGAUUUGGUUUACAUGAUACUAACACUACUGGGAUAAAUAAAUAAAACCAGGCAAGCUUGCGAAUUCUGGAGCCGGGGGGACAUCACAGCACCGGUCCAGAAGCUGCCUCGUUCCUCGUUAGCCUGCAAUCAUGGACCCGGGGUGAAAGGAUAUAGCAUCCGUACAGCAAACUUCCGGGAGAGAGUUUAUCAUGUCCGGCAGUCACAUUAAUCAGUUCCUGCGGUAAAGAGAUGGAAGGGACAAAAUGAUGAAUAUUAUCACUCUAAAACUUCUAGUGUCUAAAACAUAGCUACUGUGAACUAUGUUGUUUCGGUAUGUAUAUAUCCAAUUGAAGCAUUUACAAGCUAUGAUGUGUUUCCUUUAUUGAUUCAGCUGCUUUGGAUUAGUUUUCUUAGUAAACAAUUCUGUCAGCUGCAUCAGGACACUAGGCUGCAAAGCACCUAAAUAAUGAUGAAAUUAGUGACCAUGAAACAAACCUUUGUGAGGCAGAUCUUUGGGGAUAGGAAUAACCUGCAUACAGAAUACCUCUCGCGUUACCUGCACAUCCCCCAUACCAUCAUAAUUUUACCAUUUUGCACAUUUUGAGAAUCUUAAAAAUAUAAGAAGACUGCCUUUAAACUUUUUUAUUUAUGAUAACAGUACAAACAUGUGGAUGGGAUUUUAAAUUGGUACUCCUUCUGUUCAGAAAUAUAAAAUGUUUUGGAUAUUUCAACAUGGACUACAUUCAGACUGAAAUGAGUGAACAAACACACUAAAACGUGUCUAUACAUCCGAUUCACAAGAUAGUGUUGCAGAACAUCUUAUAUUUGUGAACUAAGGGAGUGCAUGCUAGGAAAAUAAACUGAUAUACUUCAUCAGUUCACAAUUAUAAGAUGUUCCAACGUUUUUCUGGUCCAGAUGUAUAUAGACGGAUUUUAGUGUCUUUGCUCACUCAUUUCAGUAUGUAUGUAGUCCAUAUUGAAAUAUCCAAAACAUUUUAUAAUUAUGAACGGAGGGAGCACAUUACAAAAGAAAAUGUCAACACUUUUCUUGACUAUUUUACACAUAGAUGAGUAUAAGAGUUAACCUACCAUGCUGUGUGUGCCCUAUCAUUUAACAUUGUCAUUUCAUACUCUGCAUAUACAAAUUUAUCUAUUAUGACGCAUGUGCUUAUUAUUUAACAAGAACAAACAACUGAGUUAGAAAGUUGUGCAAAUUUGUGUGUUCGUCAUGAGCUCAGAACUGGUUGCUUACCGAGUCAUAUGCGGAGAAUUUAGUUUUAUUGUGUACCAAGUGGCUAAUCAGCAAUCAGAGACUAUGUAGCUAGUACUGACUGUUUGAAAACUUCAUAUAAGAACAUACUCCCUCCGUUCCCUCCGUUCCUAAAUAUAAGUCUUUUUAGAGAUUCAACUACAAACUACAUACGGAUGUAAUAUAGACAUAUUUUAGAGUGUAGAUUCACUCAUUUUGCUCCGUAUGUAGUCUAUAGUGGAAUAUCUAAAAAGACUUAUAUUUAGGAACGGAGGGAGUACAUGGCAAAAUGAGAAUAUGCCAAUAGGGUUACUUUGCCCUUUGUUUUAUUCUCUUUUAUUUAAGGAAACAUAUAAAUCGAGCCCAUCCAAACAACCGCUGCUUGUUGUGAACCUGCAGUUGCUCUGUUGAUUAAUGUUGCAUUGUUGCUCUUGUUGAUUUGUUGCAUGGCAUGGCUGGGUCUAAAAGUAAGAAUGCUAAUGUUGACAGCGAGGAGGGUUGUAGGAGGCUUCUAGCUAGAAGUGCUUCAGCAAUUGGCUUCUAAUUUCAAAACCAAAAAGUGGAGUCAAGAAUGCAAUUGUGCUGUGUUAUUUCUUCAAGGCAGAAAUAAAACAAGACCAAAAUCAAAAGAGAGGUCUGCAUGUCCGCAUGUUCGUCACGAGUUAGAACUGGUUGCUUACGUUUUUCUAUUAUCACAACUGCAGUGAGUCUCGCAAUCAGAGGGUCAGGUCGGUGGUAUAGAUGGUUGCAUGUCAGGUUUACGACCACCAUCCCACUAGCGUGACUAAUCAGCGAUUAGGCAUAGGACAUUUAAUAGCACUGCUAAGUGUCUAAAAGGUGCAUAUAAGAAGUACUCCCUCUGUCUCAUAAUACAAGAUUUUUUGACACUGUGAUAAGUGUCAAAAAACAUCUUAUAUUAUGAGACAGAUGUAGUAUAUAUAUGGCUAAAGAGAAUACGCCAAGUGGGUUACUUUGCCCUGCCUUCUAUUCUUCUUUAUAUACUCCUACAAGGAAAAGUUACUACACAAACAAACAACUAGGUAGGGUGCGUGCACAGAUUCUGUCUGCGUGUUAGAUAGGCAGCAAGCUGCAAACGGUCCAGCCCUGAGAUACAAUUUGCUUACUUGUCGACAAGCCUAGGCUCGCACAGGAAUCGUCAGCUUACUGAUUCCAAGAAGAGUGGCAUCAACUUGCAAAGCUUCAGUCUGCACCGGCCUCGAAUUAGGCACUGAUGAAAAUAUACCCUAAGUCCCAUCGUCUUGCCUACCAAGGCUUUGAAAUCCCGGCAAAAAACCAAUUCACUCCUGCAAAGGAAGAUUGGAGGAUAAGAUUAAUAACCAGCCUCAGCGGAUCAGUAUAUCGACCGUAGAUCACUAAAGCGAGCAGCCUAACACAAAUUACCGAGGAAACGAACCACGGGCUGUGAGAAAUCGACCCGCAGACCACUAAAAACGCAACCUUUAUGGGUAAAGAGACAGUGAAUCGGAAGAAAAAAGGGUUGCGGAUCUGUAAAUCGGCAAUUACAUACCUAAUAGACGCGCCAUCGUCUCCACGAUGGUCUGAUCUCGAGAACCUACGAGAUCCAGAAGAAAAGUGCUGCCUUUAAGAAGAUCCGGGGCGCUCCGGCACGAGCAGGCCCUGGGCCGGCGCAGAUCUGCCGGUCGCCGCACUGCCUGCGCAGAUCGCAUGGGGGAAACCGGUCGUAGAUGAGCGUAUGUGAGGGGAGUAGAUGGGGUGGGUGAGAUCCGGUAGAGAGGCUUUGCCAUGGGAUGGGAUGGGAUGGGAGUAGAUGGGGUAGCUUUUGUUUCGGGAAAGGACCGCCUGGGUUGUCGAGACGCCGUCCCAACAAACCAUCGGGAUUUCUCUUUUAAAAUAAUAAUUGUAUCAACUAAAAAAAUGUCGUUCUCAAAAACAAAUGUUGUACCGAUCGUGCUUUACACCCGGAUCCCGCUAAAGUUGUCGAACUGCAACUUUG
rnacentral:lncRNA from 1 species